AUCGCUUCUCGGCCUUUUGGCUAAGAUCAAGUGUAGUAUCAAGUGUAGAGACAGAGAUAGAUACUUAAAGCACUGCUUUACUACUUGCAAAGCUUCCCCCUGCAGAUGGAGACCAAGGACUUGAACCUGGAUCCUUGAGCUUUGUAACAUGU
ensembl:snRNA U2 U2 spliceosomal RNA